GACGAACCGUGCGAACGUUAUUCGGAAUCACUGGGCUUAAAGCGCGUGUAGGCGGAUGGGGACGUCGGUCGCUGAAAUCCCCCGGCUCAACCGGGGAACGGGCGCCGAAACGCCCCGUCUCGAGGGACGUAGGGGGACCUGGAACUUCCGGUGGAGCGGUGAAAUGCGUUGAGAUCGGAAGGAACGCCCGUGGCGAAAGCGACUUCCUGGACCAAUACUGACGCUCAUGUGCGAAAGCGUGGGGAGCAAACAGG
rnacentral:rRNA from 1 species